rnacentral:lncRNA from 1 species
UUUUUUUUCCCCUCUCUUCUGCUCUCUGUCUUGCCUUUAACCGCUACCAGCUCAGCUUGGUUUAAACACUUUUCCUGGCCAAUGCAGGACUGAGUGCCCAUCCAACUUACCCGGGGACUUAAAUGUGGGCUUCUGCAUCCGACAAAUAUGGUUGUGUCUGUGGCUCCCAAGGUCUGAGCCCAGUCUCUCUGCCAUGGGCUGUGCUGGGACAAGUGCCUGCCUCCACCUUGGCCCCGCUGGCGUCUCACUUCUCCAGUGCCCAGCCCUGCACAGGGGCUGACUUCAAAGUCCCCAAAGGAGACUACCUCUUCAAAGGAUGGCAAGCAUGACUUCAGAUACAGACAAAGCAACCCAGACGGAUGGCGGAGAGAGGGAGGCGAGGGAUGUGGGAAGAGAGAGGUUUUCCCAGAGAGCAAAAUGAACCCUUGAUGAAGCCUCUGGGAUUAAAGAGGUGGCUUAGUUCUGUCACAGCAUCCACCCUUCAACCCGUUUAAGCAGCAUGCCUUUUCCAACAAAUGAAGGGCAAAGAAGCACUGAUAAGCAAUAAAGAGAUAAGCAGCAAAGUACUCGUUUCA